CUUUAACUCCCUCUUGUCGAUCAUCCAACUAAUCGACGAUAUUUGGCAGGGUUGCAAGGUACUAGAAGCAUCGAUACACUAAAGGAGCCUUUUCAUACUAACGCUCAUUUUUAGCGUCAAAUAGAUCACGUGAUCAAAAGUGUCCAUUCAAACUUCACUAUUUUGCAUCAGCUUUUACGUCGAGCGUCUGUAUGAAAAGGCUCCUUAAGGCUGACUUAAGCUAUGAUUUAAUGUAGUAUACAUAUCCAUAUAUUUCUUUCACUCCCAUCAGAAUAAUUGAAAACAGAACGCGAGAAAAUCUAGAUAUCAAUAGUUCGCCGCUAACGUCUCCUACAUUUUCAUGUAGCGUGAAAUAUCCAGAUAUUGGAUUUGAGAUACAGAGUAUUGACAGUUAACCAAUGUUGCAUUUGUAGAUCUCUUUGGUACUUGGAAUGGAGAGCAAUAUAAAUUUGUGUGACGAGCAUUUAGCGGAAAUAUACGUAAUGCGGCCUUGCUCCAUUUCGAAACCUCGCGCUCACAUAUCCCAUCAACAUAUCCCAUAAUGGAAAAAUCGAACUAUCGGCGAUCAUAGUCAGAUAAGAAGAAAUAUUGGUGAAGGGGG